UUAUGACCAAAAGGAAGUUCUCAAGUACUCGACCACCUCACUGUGCAGCUCAGGUUCUAUAUUUUGGAUGUCAGUAGGACCAGCCUAUGUGAGAGUUCUGACAAAUGUUCCAUUUUCCAUGACAAGCUCCUUCAGCCCAGUGGUCUACAAUUUGGUGCCUCUGAAACAAGUGAACCUUCAUCUCCCAGAAUCAGAAAAUUGGUAUCUUCAAAACACUGUUCCAAAUGUAUGCAUGCCUUUAAAGUCAAGCAUUCCAUUCUUCAGAGCUUGGGGCUUUAAGUAGACUACAAUAUACUUGGGACUACGAAGAUGUAACAUUUUGGUUUCGAAGGAUUAAGUUGAUUUCUAA